CCCGGAUGACCCUACGCGAAAAACCAAGGCCCUGCUGCAGAUGGUCCAGCAGUUUGGAGUGGACUUUGAGAAGUGCAUUGAGGGCUCCGGAGACCAGGUGGACACGGCAGAGCUGUCCGGAGGUGCCAGGAUUAACCGAAUUUUCCAUGAGCGCUUCCCAUUUGAGCUGGUGAAGAUUGUGUUUGACGAGAAGGAGCUCCGGAGAGAAAUCAGUCAUGCCAUUAAGAACGUCCAUGGCGUCAGGCAAGUGGUGUCCCAUUGAUGGCAAGCACUUUGCAACCCUGCAGGCCAUAUGGUGGCACAAUAGCAACGGCACUUCUUAUGUCCUCUGUUCACUGACUAAUACCUCACUCUUUCACUCCAGUCACACACUUUCUUUCUUUUUCUCUCUCGUGUGUUAUAGUAAGGCCAUGCUUUCACAACACAGCUACUAGAAUCGCUUUACAGCUCACGUUUUUUCUUGUUAUCUGUCUUGUAUAUAUCGGUAAUAGUGGCGUUUUUUCUGCAUGUCACCAGCCUUUUCACAAUACCGUAUUGUCAGUCACAUCGGUUCAAAAUUUCAUUUUUUAGAUUAAAAAAGUCAU